rnacentral:lncRNA from 1 species
AACCUGAGGCCGGCGGGGGAGGGGCCGGCGAAGAGGAGAGACCCCAGCAGGAAAUGCAGCUGAGCACAAAGGGAUGGAACAAGCUCUGUCCACUGCUUUAUUAAGCCCCAGCAGAAAAUACACUGAAGCCAGGUUCUCAGUCACUUCAACGUUUCAUCUGGGCUUCAAACUCUGAGGAAGCGAGCCCCACGAAUCCCCUGUGGACAGGCAUGACAACGCUGGCAGGCGUGUGCCAGGCAGGGAGAGGAUAGGAUGGCUGGUGGACCCUCAGAAAGACCCGACCUGAGCUUUCCCUGUAGGGACUGAGCAGAGCGGAGAAUUGAGCCCCUAAAGUGAGCAGCACAGAGCCACGGGGGGCAGGGGCAUCCCUGGCUGCAUAGUGGGAAGGCAAUGGCCUGGCCGCCAGGGACAGGCACAGGGACGCCCAGCCAGGGCCCACUGUCUUCCCGUGUGAGGAGUGAGGCGCCAGGGUAUGCGGUGGGCAGGAAGCCACAUCCUGAAUGUCAAGGGGCAGCCCAGGCUGCUCCUCCUUCCCUCAUCUGC